rnacentral:rRNA from 1 species
AAUUCGCCCUUAGAGUUUGAUCAUGGCUCAGGAUGAACGCUAGCGGCAGGCUUAAUACAUGCAAGUCGUGGGGCAGCAGGACUGUAGCAAUACAGUUGCUGGCGACCGGCAAACGGGUGCGGAACACGUACACAACUUUCCUUUAAGUGGGGAAUAGCCCGGGGAAACCCGGAUUAAUACCCCGUAAUAUUAUGAAGUGGCAUCAUUUUAUAAUUAUAGCUCCGGCGCUUAAAGAUGGGUGUGCGGCUGAUUAGGUAGUUGGCGGGGUAACGGCCCACCAAGCCUACGAUCAGUAACUGGUGUGAGAGCACGACCAGUCACACGGGCACUGAGACACGGGCCCGACUCCUACGGGAGGCAGCAGUAAGGAAUAUUGGUCAAUGGACGCAAGUCUGAACCAGCCAUGCCGCGUGGAGGAUGAAGGUCCUCUGGAUUGUAAACUUCUUUUAUCUGGGAAGAAACCCAUGUUUUCUAAUGUGGUUGACGGUACCAGAUGAAUAAGCACCGGCUAACUCCGUGCCAGCAGCCGCGGUAAUACGGAGGGUGCAAGCGUUAUCCGGAUUCACUGGGUUUAAAGGGUGCGUAGGCGGGCAGAUAAGUCAGUGGUGAAAUCUCUGGGCUUAACCCAGAAACUGCCGUUGAUACUAUUUGUCUUGAAUAUCAUGGGAGGUAAGCGGAAUAU